rnacentral:rRNA from 1 species
AUUGAACGCUGGCGGCAUGCUUUACACAUGCAAGUCGAACGGUAACAGGGAGCUUGCUCCGCUGACGAGUGGCGAACGGGUGAGUAAUGCGUCGGAACGUGCCGAGUGGUGGGGGAUAACGCAUCGAAAGGUGUGCUAAUACCGCAUACGUACUGAGGUAGAAAGUGGGGGACCUUCGGGCCUCACGCUAUUCGAGCGGCCGACGUCUGAUUAGCUAGUUGGUGAGGUAAAGGCUCACCAAGGCGACGAUCAGUAGCGGGUCUGAGAGGAUGAUCCGCCGCACUGGGACUGAGACACGGCCCAGACUCCUACGGGAGGCAGCAGUGGGGAAUUUUGGACAAUGGGCGCAAGCCUGAUCCAGCCAUGCCGCGUGUCUGAAGAAGGCCUUCGGGUUGUAAAGGACUUUUGUCCGGGAGCAAAUGCCUGGUGUUAAUAGCAUCGGGAGCUGAGGGUACCGGAAGAAUAAGCACCGGCUAACUACGUGCCAGCCGCCGCCGUAACAC